AUUAAAUCAAUGACGGAACAAGUACGUUACAGUCCAUUUAUAGAGAGAAGCUUCCAUAUGGCUGAAAGAAGCUUUAAAUGAAGGGUAACAGAAAGCUAAUCCUGAGAGCAGCUAAUCACUGCCGUCUUGCCACGUUACGGCACCAUGAGGUGAUGAAUUGAUUGUUAUUGUAAUCAAUUCAUAAUUAGGGUGGUAUCGCGAGUUAACUCUCGUCCCUUUU
rfam:Bacillus thuringiensis serovar israelensis ATCC 35646 sq1811, whole genome shotgun sequence.